rnacentral:rRNA from 1 species
CUUUACUGUAACUUGAAAUUGAAACUGGACUUUAUUUGCGCAGUAUAGGUGGGAGGCGUUGAGAAUAUUCUUGCGGGAGUAUUGGAGCCAUCAGUGAGAUACCACUCUUGUAAUGUUAGGUUUCUAACUUUGUAUCAUUAUCUGGUCAAAGAACAGUUUCAGGCGGGCAGUUUGACUGGGGCGGUCGCCUCCUAAACGGUAACGGAGGCGCACAAAGGUUUCCUCUGAACGGGUAGAAAUCGUAUCUAGAGUGUAAAGGCAAAAGGAAGCUUGACUGUGAGACCUACAAGUCGAGCAGGGACGAAAGUCGGUCUUAGUGAUCUGACGGUGCUGAGUGGAAAGGCCGUCACUCAACGGAUAAAAGUUA